rnacentral:rRNA from 1 species
GAUGAACGCUGGCGGCGUGCCUAAUACAUGCAAGUCGAGCGAACAGAUAAGGAGCUUGCUCCUUUGACGUUAGCGGCGGACGGGUGAGUAACACGUGGGUAACCUACCUAUAAGACUGGGAUAACUUCGGGAAACCGGAGCUAAUACCGGAUAAUAUUUCGAACCGCAUGGUUCGAUAGUGAAAGAUGGUUUUGCUAUCACUUAUAGAUGGACCCGCGCCGUAUUAGCUAGUUGGUAAGGUAACGGCUUACCAAGGCGACGAUACGUAGCCGACCUGAGAGGGUGAUCGGCCACACUGGAACUGAGACACGGUCCAGACUCCUACGGGAGGCAGCAGUAGGGAAUCUUCCGCAAUGGGCGAAAGCCUGACGGAGCAACGCCGCGUGUGUGAUGAAGGUCUUCGGAUCGUAAAACUCUGUUAUUAGGGAAGAACAUACGUGUAAGUAACUGUGCACGUCUUGACGGUACCUAAUCAGAAAGCCACGGCUAACUACGUG